AACGCACAUUGCGCCCGCCAGUAUUCUGGCGGGCAUGCCUGUUCGAGCGUCAUUAACACCACUCAAGCCCCCGGGCUUGGCGUUGGGGAUCGGCACCCGGCGCGCGCUCCUCCUCCGGGAGGGGCCCGCCCGCCGUCCCCCAAACCCAUUGGCGGUCGCGCCUGCGGGCUCCCUUGCGUAGUAGCAACACCUCGCACCGGAUGCCCCUCGCGGCCACGCCGUAAAACCCCCGACUUUUUUUUUAGUUGACCUCGAAUCAGGUAGGACUACCCGCUGAACUUAA
rnacentral:misc_RNA from 1 species